rnacentral:rRNA from 1 species
GGACGAACGCUGGCGGCGUGCUUAACACAUGCAAGUCGAGCGAUGAAGUUUCUUCGGAAAUGGAUUAGCGGCGAACGGGUGAGGAACACGUGAAGAAUCUGCCCUCCACUUUGGGAUAACACCGGGAAACCGGUGCUAAUACCGAAUAUUGAAACAUAAGUGGCAUCACUGAGUUUUGAAAGAAUUUCGGUGGAGGAUGACUUCGCGGCCUAUCAGCUAGUUGGUGAGGUAAUGGCUCACCAAGGCGACGACGGGUAGCCGGCCUGAGAGGGUGACCGGCCACACUGGAACUGAGAUACGGUCCAGACUCCUACGGGAGGCAGCAGUGGGGAAUAUUGCACAAUGGGCGCAAGCCUGAUGCAGCAACGCCGCGUGAGGGAUGAAGGCCUUCGGGUUGUAAACCUCUUUUAGCAGGGAAGAAGCGAAAGUGACGGUACCUGCAGAAAAAGCACCGGCUAACUACGUG